rnacentral:rRNA from 1 species
GCAAGUCGAACGGUGAACCGGAGCUUGCUCUGGGGAUCAGUGGCGAACGGGUGAGUAACACGUGGGCAACCUGCCCCUCACAUUGGGAUAACCCCGGGCAACCGGAGCUAAUACCAAAUAUGACCUUGAUAGGCAUCUAUCGAGGUGUAAAGGAUUCUGGUGAGGGAGGGGCCCGCGGCCUAUCAGUUAGUUGGUGAGGUAACGGCUCACCAAGGCGACGAUGGGUAGCCGGCCUAAGAGGGCGAUC